AGGCUUGUAGCUCAGGUGGUUAGAGCGCACCCCUGAUAAGGGCGAGGUCGGUGGUUCAAGUCCACUCAGGCCUACCA
rnacentral:tRNA from 1 species